AUGCUUCUCCUAAAGACUAAGCCAUGCAUGCCUCCGAUAAGAAGAAGCAAUUCUCUCUGAAUCUGCGAACGGCUCCGCAAACCAGUUGUAAGCUAUAGCAAGAAUGCCCCGAAACCGGCCUCACCGCUUGGAGUAGAGGGUGACAGGGAUACCCCUGGUAAUUCUGAGGCUAAUACCUGCGUGUACGCCCCUGGACGCCCUCGUGGCGRCCGGGGACCGUGCGAGCAUUGAUCGCGGCGGGAAACUGCCCGGGAAAGGACGCACAGUCAAACCGCAGCAAAAAAGGGUCCUUCCGAGCACCGCCUCACGGCGGGGCAGAGUUGGUCCUUGCGGGUCUUGCGGUGCGCUUCUGACCUAUCAACUGUAUAGCAGUGUAAAGGACGUGCUAUGGUCACAACGGGUACAGAGGAUUAGGGUUCGAUCCUGGAGAGUGGGCCUGAGAGAUUGCUCACACUUCUAAGGAAGGCAGCAGGCGCGUAACGUUCCCAUUGGGCAAUGCCCGAGGGCGUUAGGGGAAAUAUGAAUGCCUGCCAAUUGGUGGGCAAUUCAAAUGGGUCUGUUCUAAACAGCCUCU
rnacentral:rRNA from 1 species